AUAGGCGACGCCGGACGCAGUUUCCUCUUCUUUUCUUCGCGUCGCCCUGCAACCCCACCCACCGCCGCCGCCACCCAGCACCACAAGCCCGCACGAUCCCUCUCCGCGUCCUUGGUCGCCGACUUCCGAUAAGCUUCGACGCCGCGCUCGCACGAGCUAGCGCAAAGAUCCAGCAUAUUAUCCCCAAUUUCGGAAGUCCGAUCCCCGGUUCGAUCCAGAACACCCUUUUUUUGUAGGGUUUGGUUUUGGCCCGUGGAUCUAGGGUUUGGUGAGCCAAUUUUCCCCGAUUCCCUUCGAUUGCUGGGAUUUGUUGUGCCUGCGCAUCAUGGCCGCGGGGCGCCACGGAGGGUACAGUGGCUACGAGGUGUCGAAGGAGCGGGAGUUCGAUCUGGAGGCUUCUAGAAGGGGCAAGGAUUACCAUCACCGCAACCCUAGCCGACACCGCGACUCAGAUCGUCGUCGUGAUGGCGGCCGGAGCAGGGACCGGGAGCCGUCAAAUGGGCACACCCGCCACCGGUCGCCACAUCUGCCACUGAAGAGCCGGCCGUCAGGGAGGAGGGAGGAGAGGGAACCCGGCGAGGUUUCAAGCGGAAGUGGCUCGGAAGAGUCUCGUGGGUGUCCGCUCAAGGCAAGGGAACCUGGUGUGAAUGGUGUUGCUGGGGUCAGCAGGGAGGGCGGGGUGCCAUCCCCAACUAAGAAGCGAAAAUACUCGCCUAUUAUUUUGGACAGGAAUGGUUCAAAGCCUCGUGUCCAAGAUUUUGCGAGUAGCAUGAAAGAUGUAGGCACUGUGGUUGCCAACCUCCCAGAUGUUGGCAACCCGAGCAGCAUUGAUUUGGAUGCAUCGGUUGAUGUACAAAAUGUUGAAAGAUUACAGGAGCACUGCAAUGAUAGGGUUAUUAUGGAGGAGGAUGAGGAGGAGGAUGCUUAUCCAACAAUGAUAAACAUUAGGACUUCACGAUGGGCAGAUGCUGAUGACGAGGAAGAAAUUGUGUCGAAGAAGAAGAAAAGCGUGUCACCAGAACAAGGGUCCGUGAAAAAGCUUACAAGCCCAGAGCUUGGAAAGUUGAUGAUGGAUAAAGACUCAAACUCCUCAGUGUCGUCUGACUCUGGCGUAGUACAGUUUAGUGCAAACAGGGAUCUUGAAGUAGAUAAGGGUGACUACAUGGAUAUCGAGAAGGAUGCUGGGGAUGAUUCUUCUGCUCUUUGUGGGAUGCACACUGAUUCUGAGAGUCAUCGGUGUAGCUCUAGAACCCCAGAGCCCGCAGGGUCACCGCAUAGGUGCAUUAACAUGCUUCAGGGUUGUAGGGGUGUUGACGAGUUUGAGAGGCUCAACACAAUUAAUGAGGGUACAUACGGUAUUGUAUCUAGGGCAAAGGAUAAGAAAACUGGUGAGAUUGUUGCAUUGAAGAAGGUAAAGAUGGAGAAUGAACGGGAAGGUUUCCCACUGACUUCUCUCAGGGAAAUAAAUAUCCUGCUAUCGUUCCAUCACCCUUCGAUUGUGGAUGUCAAGGAAAUAGUCGUUGGGAGUGGUGACAGCACCUAUAUGGUGAUGGAGUACAUGGAGCACGAUCUCAAGGCUGUCAUGGAGACUAUGAAACAACCAUAUAGUCAAAGCGAGGUCAAAUGUUUGAUGCUUCAGCUGCUAGAAGGUGUGAAGUAUCUUCAUGACAAUUGGGUGAUUCACAGGGAUCUCAAGACGUCUAAUAUUCUCUUGAAUAACCGCGGUGAGUUGAAAAUAUGUGAUUUUGGGCUCUCUCGUCAAUAUGGCAGUCCACUAAAGCCUUACACUCAAUUGGUUGUGACUUUGUGGUACAGGGCUCCAGAACUACUGUUAGGCGCAAAGGAAUAUUCCACUGCUAUUGAUAUGUGGUCGUUGGGUUGUAUUAUGGCAGAACUCCUUUCAAAAAAGCCACUGUUUGAUGGGAAACGUGACAUCGACCAACUUAGUAAGAUAUUUAGAAUGCUUGGUACACCUAACGAGGACCUAUGGCCUGGUUAUUCUAAAUUACCGGGCGCCAGGGCCAAAUUUGCCAAACAACCGUACAAUAGAUUACGGGAAAAGUUUCCAGCUGUAUCUUUCACUGGUGGGCUGACCCUGUCAGAGGCUGGAUUUGACCUGCUAAACAGAAUGCUGACGUAUGACCCUGAAACGCGCAUAUCAGCAGAGGAUGCGUUGAACCAUGAAUGGUUCUGUGAAGUACCAUUGCCUCAGUCAAGGGAUUCUAUGCCAACAUUUCAUUCCCUUAAUGAACAAGACAGGCGCAUGAUGAAACGCAUGAAGAGCCCUGAUCCUCUGGAGGAGCAACGAAUGAAAGAACUGGGGAGCAUACACGACCGUGGAAUUUUUGGCUGAGCCCUGAUCUUUUGGUUUGCUGCAGAUGCCAAUCUUCAAUUAACAUGAACCUAAUGGAAGUGCAUGUGUUCCAAGGUUAGACGUCCACUGGAUAUAUGAAGUACACCGUCUUCUUGGUGUCUGGCGACAGUUGGUGGCCUUCUUUAGCAGGCAUGGAUGCAUAAUCAGAAGGGGAUACGAUUUCUCCUUAUAUUCCGUGCUAGGCACUAUUUCAUUUACAGGGUGUGCAAAUAUCUCAUACAGCUGCAUCGUAUGGUCUGGCCUAUUCACAGCUAUUGGGUACACCAGUUUCACAUACCGAUCUUCUAUGAAUGAAGCGAAGAAGGGGAGUACCUUUUGCUUUUUCGCGAGGAAACUGAUGCAUAGUAAUGCAAAUUGUAAGGUAAUAUGCUGAGGAAUUAAUUUCCCACUGAUGUGUUAUCGUGCUAUAUAAAUUCGACGUAUUUAUCAUUUUUUAUCUCUGUGUUUGUGGAUGUUCUGUGUGAAUGGUCUUGUAAGCUCAGGUGAGCUUUGGCGUUGUUUGGAAAUAUCUAAAAUUGUACAUACAUAUUUUAUGGCUUAUUCUGCUUGAUAUGUUCAUGUUGUCUGUUAUUGUACUAUAUGAAAUUCUAACUUACAUAAUGAAUGCAAACCAAAAAGGACAAAUUAAUACUUAUGAACUUUUUUUGUGCAGUCAAUGCAACUUCCGUCGUAAGAGAACAACUAAUGUCGUCUUAAAAACACAACUAAUUUUAUAUUGCGAAAUGGAGACCCUUCAUUUCUGUUAUUGUUUGCUUUCCUGAAAACAGGAAUUUGAGAGCAAAGUUUGGAAAUUAACUUCCCAUGACCUUUGUUAUCCCAAAUCUAGAUGCUAUUUUGUUCUGCUUUUAUUAUUUUCAGGAUUUUGUUCUUGUUUGGCCUAUCUUGCCUGAUGGAUAAAAAGCCUUUCUUGCAUUGUUGAAUGAUACUAUGUUUUUCACCUAGGCUUUCAUUUUGUGUUGAUUACGUUUUGGGAACCGACACGUUCUACAAAAUGUAAAUGAUUUUCAACAACCGACCUAAAUUUGUGAAAACACAUCAGUGGCCAAUUUUUUAGAAGUUUGACUAAAAUGCUAUCCUUUUGUGAACUGGAUGGAGCACUAGUUAGUGAAAGUUGUAAAAUGUUUUUGGUUCUUAGGUACCGGUUUGCCCUUCAUGAAAAGUUUAUGCACUCUUACUCAUAUGCCAUUCUUUUAAGUAUUAUUAUUUAUAAGCCAUAGUUUCUAACCCUCUCCGUAUACCCAGCAAUCUGUUAGGACUACCCUUGUAUAUAAAAGGGUUAUCCCUCACAAAUUCCUUGAUGGUAUGCAAGCAAUAAGGCUGAAAACAAUGACAUGCAAGGGAUUGGUUUUAAGAGUAGCAUAUACGGGAGUUCCUUAUAUGAUAAUAUACUUGCAUGCACGUAAGUAUCGUCCGUUUAGUGAGGCAGUCAGUUUUCAUUGUUUCAGUUUCAAGUCAUUUGCUAUGUGCAGGACAUCUGAUGAUAGAAAAGCUAGUCUGAUUGGUGUCCAUGAUUGAAUGUUUGUUUGGACAUAGCAUAUCUUCCUGUGAAAUCAGUUAAUCCAGUUCUCUUACUCAAUUUUAACUUUGAACUAUGAAUUACUUGUAUUGUGUAAGCUGCUUGGAGAGUUGAUUGAACUCACUUAAGUGUUCUGUGACCCGUCUGCAGCUUAAGCUGUGGCUAUCAAGACAGGAAGCUCGAGUGCUGUCAGCUUACCUUUCUUAAUUGACUUUCUUUGUGGAAGGUAUCCAAGCUCUGUUACUCUUGUGAAUCUUAGUUGGUCAGUAUACUAUCCUAUCUUGGUAUGUUUUCUUGCUAGUAGUUUUCCUUGGUAACUGAUUAUCAUUUCCUUGGUUGACAAAUAUAUUAUUUUUAAAUCUGUUCAGAGUUCAGGCGAUCUCAUCAUUUACCUUAAUAUUGCUACAUGAUCCCUUGAAGAGUUGCCUGUUUUCUGGUUCUAUAUUUCCGAAGAUGCACGCCAUUGUCAUGAAAUGCUGCACUUUAUAAUUUGAUAAAAAAUUGUGGAUUCCGUAUGCUUUGCUUACUACAGGAAAACUCACGGGUGCUGGUAAAAACAAGACUAGUUUUCAUUUAAAUAAAUCAUGUUUAGUUUCCGUAAUGUUCUGAUAAUUUACCUACGGAUGCCUUGUAGUUAUCAGUUCAUUUUUAUUUAAUCCCUUAUCCCUGUCAACCAUGUGCCACCACCCACCAGUGGACAUGAUGAUUCUUGGUUGAACAUUUGUUGGAUAAUUCCAGUAGUUAGUUAUUUGCAGUGACCUAUUAAUUGCUCUCUCUCAAGUAGAUAGUACCACCGGUGGAGAAGAGAGCCCUGUUUUUUUAAUAGAUAUGGCCCUUUUGUAUUGAAUUCCUUGCCCCACUUCUGAAUGCAAUGCUUAUCAGCACUAAAAAAGUCAGAACACAGACCCAUACAUUUUGUUCUUUUGGCGAGGGGUAUUCUGUUGUGGUAUCUGGAUUAUUUUUACAGUUUAUACAUCUCUUCAAAUUGCUACAAAUCUGUAACUUAUGUAGUGGUCAGAACUAACCUAGAUAAGGGCGGAGUGAAACAAGUUUUAAGUGCAAAUGAAGUGCUGGCUCGUGCCACAGUUGCGCCUAAUCGGACUGCUUGUUAGCUAUUUCUGUCUUUGCUGCUUGCGACUUGGGCAGCAUGCUGGCUUGUGCCGGUACAGACGGAGAAAGGAAUAGGAGUGAGAUUCGGCCAAGUGGGAUGUUGAUAUGAUGUUUAUGUUUGCAUCGAGACAGCUCUCUCUCAAGUAAAUGGUACUACUGGUGGAGAAGAGAGCCCUGUUUUUAUAGAUAUGACCCUUUUUCAUUGAAAUUCCUUUCCCCACUUCUGAAUGAAAUGCUUAUCAGUAUUAAGCAAAAUCAGAACACAGAUCCAUUUAUUUUGUUCUGUCAUCGAGGGGUAUUUAUAGAGUUCAGAUCUGUCGAAAUUUCUACAAAGAUGGUAACUUAUGUAGUGGCUCUUGCCACUGCUGCGCCUCAUUGGGUGCUACUCGUUAGCUAUUUCUGUCUUUGCUGCCAGCGACUUGGGCGGCCUGCUGACUUGUGCAGGUACUGACAAGGGAAAAGGGAAUGAGUGAGAUUCAGGCAAGUGAGAUGUUGAUGCGAUGCUUGUGUUUGCAUCAGAGACAGAAGUGAGUGCUGGACCGAACUGUUUAUGGGUUCUGACUUGCGUAUCCUUCAUGAAUUCCUACAAAAAAUCAUGUACCAAUCUAUUAUUUUCUAUCCUUGUUUUCUACUCCCUCUGUUCCAAAAUAAGUGUCAUGGAUUUAGUUCAAAUUUGAACCAUGUCAGUUAUUUUGAAACAGAGUAUUUGUAUAAGUUGAUUGUAUUGUGUUAGUUUGGAUAGAAGACAUGUCUGUAUUCCGUGAAUGCAAGAUCAUUCUCAAAGGCAUGCCGGUUUCCAGCACAUCCUCUUGGUCAGCUGUUGCAGACGAAAUGCCUGCAGCAGAGCAUUCAACGAUGAACCUUAUUGUACCUUUUCAAAACAAAUUAGUACAUACGUUUUGAAUAUAAAUGCUAUCUAACAUCGUUAACCAUUUCUCUCUUUUGCUGUCGUUUGUAAGUCAAGUCAAGGGUCAAUUCUGCUAUAGCCUGAGUUUUGGAAUGAAAGUGCUGAAAUUUCGAUCAAAUAAGUUUGGCUUGGAAACCUUGUAAAGCAUGGCAAGGUCUGGUCCAGUAUUUGAUAACCUUCUGCUCAGCUAGACACUUAACUAUGUACUAUCGAAACUGCCUCCUUUCACGCGAACAUUUUGAAUAGAAAUGCUAUCCAGCUUCAAUAGGCAUUUAUUUAUUUUUGUUGUCGUUAGGUCAAGGAUCAAUUGUGCUGUAGCCAGAGUUCUUAAAUGAAGUGUUUAAAGGUUUUGAUCAAAGUUUGGCUUGGAAGCCUUUUAAAGCAUCGCUAAGGUCAGGUCCAGUAUUUGAUCUUGGACUAUCGAGAACUGCCUCCAUUCAUGAUGUAUGUGCAUUUGAUUUUGACAGUAAAUAUCUUGAUUCCUACUCAAUAAUUCAAGAUAUCACCUGAGCCUGCCCCCGAUGCAAUUUUUAUUGCAUGUUUUGCAGGUUCACGUUUGGGAAUUAAAGUGUAUUAAUCAUUAUUCUGUGUGGAUUAUGGUUUGUUAGUAGUGUUAACAUAUGAUCUUAGUAGUGUUAAUAUAUGAGUAGUAAGGUGGAGAAGUGCUCUUUUAUUACUAGCUUGUAUUGUAUUUUUGGUUGCACCACCUGUGCCAGCUUGUCUCCAACUGGAUUAGCCUGUCCUAACCCAUCAUACACUAAUGUCUGCAUAUGAAGGAUAAAAUCACCUAGGUAACUAAAUAUGAGACUUUGUUUAGUUCAAUUUGAACUGCAAAAACGUCUUGUGUUUAGUUGCAGCGGUAGCACUAACUUGUACUCUCCAGUUUAUUUUAUGUAUAUGCCCUUCCUAACCCUGUAUACAGCAACGAUGGAACUUGAAUUAGCAUUGCGGAGGCAAAGAAGCUUCUUUGGUCUCUCUGGCUUCUGACCAUUUGUGUUCUAUCAGACUGAAAAAACCCUAAGGUGUUGCAAGAGUGCCUGCUGAUGUAUUACUCCCUCCGUCCCAAAAUAACUGUCUCAACCUUAGUACCUUAGUACAACUUUGCAGUAAAGUUAAUACAAAGUUGAGACACUUAUUUUGGGAUGGAGGGAGUAUUUCUUUUACCUCUUAGGGUUAUGGCUGUAUCUAUCUAAAUUUGGUAAAGUGAUGUAGUAUCAAGAUGAGUACAACUUGUUUUCUUUUUCCUGUAAUGUGGUAACAAUGAAUAGUCCUUGACAGUUUUGCUGUCUGAGAUUUCUGGAUAAUGUGCAAGCUGAUUCACCUGAAAA